rnacentral:rRNA from 1 species
GACGAACGCUGGCGGCGUGCUUAACACAUGCAAGUCGAACGGAAAGGCCCUGCUUUUGUGGGGUGCUCGAGUGGCGAACGGGUGAGUAACACGUGAGUAACCUGCCCUUGACUUUGGGAUAACUUCAGGAAACUGGGGCUAAUACCGGAUAGGAGCUCCUGCUGCAUGGUGGGGGUUGGAAAGUUUCGGCGGUUGGGGAUGGUCUCGCGGCUUAUCAGCUGGUUGGUGGGGUAGUGGCUUACCAAGGCUUUGAAGGGUAGCCGGCCUGAGAGGGUGACCGGCCACAUGAGGACUGAGAGACGGCGCAGUCUGCUACGGGAGGCAGCAGUGGGGAAUAUUGCGCAAUGGGCGGAAGCCUGAUGCAGCAACGCCGCGUGCGGGAUGACGGCCUUCGGGUUGUAAACCGCUUUCGCCUGUGACGAAGCGUGAGUGACGGUAAUGGGUAAAGAAGCACCGGCUAACUACGUG